rnacentral:lncRNA from 1 species
GAACCUUCACUUAGUGAAACAGUAAUCUCUACUCCAGAGCCAGAGUGGUCUCAGACUUGAACUUUGGCUGCUUAGGGGAAAUAGAAAGUUACUGCUCACAUAUAACAAUCCAGGUGUUGACAUGAGCUUUAAUAGCGAGCACGUUACGGCCCUGUGCUGAUCCUGGUUUUCAUGAGCAUAUUUGAGAAUAAGCCCGUUCUCAUAGGAAGCGGCCCCACUUCCAUACUCACAUAGGUGAAAUCCGUCAAGGGUGCUCCUGUAAUUCUGACACCCUGCUCAUAAGAGCUACAGAUUUCAUUAAGAGCAAAAGCUCAACCCUCUUUUCAUUACAGGAUGAAUGCACCCACACCAUAGGGAUA